GUAAUCUUUACUAGUGACGUCGUCAAAAAAUAUUUACAUGAUAAAUAUUUAUUAUCAACAGAUUAUGCUUUAAAUUAUAAAAAAAUAUUAUCGUUUAUGAACUCUUUAUGCGUUUUUUUUAACGUUCUUCAUAAGAGUAAAGGCCUGUUACAAUGACUAAAAAAAGGAAAUUGGUGAUCAAAAAAGAAGAAAACAAAAAAGAGAAGCAGAGCAAAGGCGUAUAUUUAAUUUGGCGAUAAAAUUAAGUUAAACGUAGAGCUGUAUGAGUUGGCAAAGAAAAAAGAACGUGAAAGAUACCACAGAAGAAAAAAUGUUGGAAAAAUAAAAACCAUUAACAACGUCUCUGAAAGAGAAAAAAGAGCAAUAAGAAAGCGAUGGAAACAGGCUGUACUAAAAUAUUGAGAAAAAAUAAGGAAUAAAAAAAAUUAGUUACAUAUUUAGAAAAAAAUACACCGCUUUCGACACCAACGAAUUUUGAAGUUCCAGUGAUAUCCAGAAGAGCUUUAGCAGGCAGUAAGAAAGUUUUAAGAAAGCGCUCUAAAAUAUUUAGGGAAUUAAAUCGAAUAAAAACCGAAUUAAAAAAAGCUGAAAAGAAAGCAACACGCUAUAAACUAAAAUACUACAGACUAAAAAACCGUAAAAAUAAAAGGAAUUUAACAUCUCCGGAAACCAAAAUAGAACAUUUAACGAAAAGAAAAAACAUAACAAAAGAAGUCAAGCGAAAACUAGUGUUCGGUGAGGCCUUAAAGACGCAACUUGAGUACAACUUUAAAGCCCUGGGUUCCAGUACAUAAAAAAAAAUAAUUUUUCAAGUAUGCUUCUGGACCCUUAAUAAAAAAGUAUUGCUUAAUUCAAUCUUCAAAGUCAUUUACAGGGUCAUAUUACAGGUCACAAAGAAAGGCCUUUAAAAGACCAGAGAGUAAGGCUAAAGCAAAAAAAAUCAUUACUUAUAAAAGCCGUGCAGAUUUUUUUUGAAAGGGAUGAUAACAGUAGAAUGUGCCAUAUAUUAUAUACAUGAUUAUAUACAUUAUUAUAUUUAUUAUAUACAUUAUAUUACAUAUAUAUACAAAUUUAAUAAUAAAAAUAAUAUAUGGA